rnacentral:lncRNA from 1 species
UAUCAUAUAAUUUUUAAAGGUGUGUUAAUUUAAAUUUUGUUAGUGUUACUAUCAUAUAACUGUUUAGUUACUUCUGCAUUAUGUUUUGGUUACUUCUUUAUUUUGUUUUAGUUACUGUUACCUUAUGGUUUGGCUACUAUUAUUGUGCCCUCGAUGUGGGAUUUUGGUUACUGUUAUUUUUAUUCUAACAUGUACAUUAUGUACCCUCACAUGUACAUUAUUUUUGAUUACUAACAUAUAACUGUUUGGUUACUGCAUUAGUAUAUUUUUUGUUACUGUUAGCUUAUGAUUUGGAUACCAUUUUUUUUUCCUCAAUUGGGAUUUUUGUUACUUUUAUAUGUUAUUUUGGUUACUUUUAUAUGUUAUUUUGGUUACAAUGUAUUUGCUUAGUAUACAUUGAUUGACUAAACUGAGUCUGGACUACAUGUUGUUUAGUAUACUAGACUAAUUUAUGGGGGCUUGAUGUAAUGCUUACGUUGUAG